GAUGAAGAACGCAGCGAAAUGCGAUAAGUAAUGUGAAUUGCAGAAUUCAGUGAAUCAUCGAAUCUUUGAACGCACAUUGCGCCCCUUGGUAUUCCGAGGGGCAUGCCUGUUCGAGCGUCAUUAUAACCCCUCAAGCUCAGCUUGGUGUUGGGGCCUGCUGCACUGGCAGCCCUUAAAAUCAGUGGCGGCGCCAUCUGGCUCUAAGCGUAGUAAUUCUUCUCGCUAUGGAGUCCUGGUGGAUGCUUGCCAUCAACCCCCAAUUUUUCUAUGGUUGACCUCGGAUCAGGUAGGGAUACCCGCUGAACUUAAGCAUAUCAAUAAGCGGAGAA
rnacentral:misc_RNA from 1 species